UACGUAGGGGGCAAGCGUUGUCCGGAAUCAUUGGGCGUAAAGAGCGUGUAGGCGGCCCGAUAAGUCCGCUGUGAAAGUCCAGGGCUCAACCCUGGAAUGCCGGUGAAUACUGUCGGGCUCGAAUCCGGAAGAGGUGAGUGGAAUUCCUGGUGUAGCGGUGAAAUGCGCAGAUAUCAGGAGGAACACCAAUGGCGAAGGCAGCUCACUGGGACGGUAUUGACGCUGAGACGCGAAAGCGUGGGGAGCAAACAGG
rnacentral:rRNA from 1 species